GUCCCUGUAGCUCAACCGGACAGAGCACCUGCCUUCUAAGCAGGUGGCUGCGGGUUCGAGUCCCGCCAGGGACGCCA
rnacentral:tRNA from 1 species